rnacentral:tRNA from 1 species
AGCAGAGUGGCCUAGUGGAAAGAGCACAGGCCUCCAAGUCAGAGAACCUGGGUUUUAAUCCCGGCUCUGCCA